GAUGAACGCUAGCGGCAGGCCUAACACAUGCAAGUCGAGGGGUAACAGGGAUUGCUUGCAAUCCGCUGACGACCGGCGCACGGGUGCGUAACGCGUAUACAAUCUGCCUUGUACUGGGGGAUAGCCUUUAGAAAUGAAGAUUAACACCCCAUGGUAUGUAGAGUUCGCAUGGAUUUUACAUUAAAGGUUACGGUACAAGAUGAGUAUGCGUCCUAUUAGCUAGAUGGAGUGGUAACGACACCCCAUGGCGACGAUAGGUAGGGGCCCUGAGAGGGGGAUCCCCCACACUGGUACUGAGACACGGACCAG
rnacentral:rRNA from 1 species